ensembl:lncRNA
GUAAUUCCAUUCCACAUGAUAUUAUUAUUGAUCAGCGCUUUUUCCAAGUGACUGCAUGUGAGAGCUCAAGGCCGUUACUCCCCUUAACAAUUCCUAGAUCAGUAGUACACCUGGAAGCGUCUCCUUCGGGGGCUGUGGGUUCCCCUGUGGUGUACUUCUCUGCGGUCAUAGACUCCCUUGCACGCUCCCAAGGCCGUCAGGACAUGAUUGGGGUCAUCCUCUGCCCCAUAAAAGCACAACAAAUGUUCCUGGACGUUAUCAAGUAUGGUCUGCAGUAGAUCACAGAUUGCUCACUAAAGGACAACAUCCUGAGAUCCGGGUGUUCUUUGGACAAGCCUGACAUUGAAUGGACUUAUGCUUUGCACCUGUACUAUGGCUGGCAAACUACAACAAAGACUGUGUCUUACAUGUGACUGAAAAGGGGGGGUGCUGCUGGGGGGGUCCCGGCUCAGGAGAAUGGGGCGCUUACAGGGCUGAAGUUUAUUUAUUGAAAACAUUGGAUUUGGUGGCACAAGGAUUGCCAGGCUGGAGAUGCUCUCUUAGUGCGGAUCAUUGGGAAAAUUGCUCUCUCACACAUCGAUCUUACGUUCAUCACACCAGGUCAUUUCUAUUUUGAAAGAACAGGAUAAUCUAUGUACCACCUGAACUAAAAUUCUUAAACCUGUUAGUGUGCCUAACACACCAACUGUAGUGUUGUAAUGGUGUAAUUAAUUCUGUGGAACCAGUCACUAAGAACACUCACGAUUGCUCAGCCGAAAUUCGUAUUUCCUUGAGCUUAAAAGUUUUGGGUCUGAAACUUCACAAACAUUAUGAACACCCUGUUCUGCCCAAUUGGCUGAAUUGAAGUCUAUCACUAAAGAAUGCAACCUGGUUAAGGGUAGAAUUGUUAAAAAAUAUAAAUACUGACGUUUAGGCCCAUGGAUUUUGUCGUCUGUUUAGAGUUGUUUGAAUGCAAUGAGGUUCUAGGGAAAAAAAAGAAAAGAAAAAAAAACCGUUGGAACGCCACUUAUCAAACAAAUAAUUCAAUUGAAUUCUGACUGCACUUCUUGCUGUAUGUAUUACAGAUGCCCAUGAUCUUAGCCAGUGUGCGAGGGGGAAGGUAGAGGAAUGGUCUCUGUACUUGCAGGCAACGGUGGAGGAUAAUCUAAGUGUGAUAUUUGUGCUCGAAAAUUUCUUCCUUGACCAGGGAUAGGUCCCAGAUCUGACAUACCAUCUCAAGUUGACGUAAUUUGUGCUGAUACUAAACGUAGUUCGAUAGAUGCUCUACCUCUUGCACUAAUGACCUAUCACAUGCAGACUAACAGCAAUAUGUAUCUAACACCGCAUGAAAUGCUUACGGGUCGACCCAUGUCUGUGUCUGUUCCUUAUGAUGGACUGCCGCUGGAGUAAUUGCAGAUGAAUCAGAAACAUAUAUGAGACCACUAACUAUUAUGUAUGGAGCUAUAUAUUCACAGGAACAGAGCUGAGUGCAGUGUUAUGUGUGAGGCGUCACCGCCUCAACGGGGGGAGGUGUUCACCCGGAGGUAGGAGACCCGGAGCAGCGAGAGAAUGCUGACUACAAGGCAACAGCAGACUACAAGGACAUGCGACCCCCGGAGGAUGCUUCUCCAAUGACGAGAUGGUGGGGAACACAGGUCCGGUACGAAGCUGCUGUGUACGAAGCUGCCGUCAACGGGGGGUCUGCUAUCAUAGAACUCACACCCCAGAUGGGACUGGGCUAAGAUCUAUAUGUCUGGAAUCUCUCCCGUGGGACUUCGCUCUCUAAGCAACAGACAGGCCGUAUAGGAAAAGGCAUUGCAGAUGCCUGUUAUUUCAAAGCUCUGUUUUAGUGGUCUGUUGCUACGACUGAGAAGCAGUCAGUGGCAGACAGGAUGAGAAGAUGUGAAGAUCCAUACCCUGGGUGUACGUGCUAGCCUAACCUCUCCCCAAAGGGUGGCUCUCUACAGUACGUAAAGUGCUUGAGCUGAAGACAACCAGCAUACAGAGAGAUACUGCAUACAACAGACUGUCAAGUAUUGUUAUAAAAUGUUAUAAAAUGUUUGUGAUAUGACGCACUCAGGCAUGAGAAAAGUAUAAUGGUGCUGUCGAGCACAUAGUGCUGACAGGGUGGGAAUUUUUUCCUCGUAGGAGGUUUUUUCGCCCACCCCUGACUGCGUAAGACUGGGGUUUGGUUUUUGAGGGGAAGCAAGAAUCUGCAGGUCCCGACAAAUACAAAACUGUGGGAUGACAGGCCUAGUUGAGAAAGAUAGGGACGUGUAGAUCAAGUAGUUAGUUACUGUAGUGGCCACUCAUACGUACGGCAGUAGUAGUAGUAAUGAAUGAUUAGGGGAACUCAGUUAAUCACACUUAUAAUCGAUGUAGGCAAACAAACGUAUAAUCAAGGUAGUUAGAUUCGAAAUGAGAUAUAUAUACAUAGUUGAAAGGAGAAGUAGGUUAAGGGUUAAGAGUUAUGGCUAGGUACAUCUACACAUGUCCGGCGCAAAGUGGAUGUAGGGGGGUCCUAAGGCCCAUUCUCCAGCUGCCAAUCUACUAUGAGACCCCGGGGCGCACAACACUAGCACGUCUCCCACCAAGUCUACAAAACCUCCUCAGCUCCUAUUCGGAUCAGUGUUGCGUAGAAGUGGUUAAUAUAAGGGACCCAUUUGAGUACGGGGACGGGCGCAGGGAUUAUGGCUUCGUUAGAGUAAUCCUCCAACAGCUAGCGGGGGACGGCCAUGGGGUGCGGCAGAAUCAGUUCCUCCACGCUUAAUUAAGGUAUUGUAUGAGGCUUCAUAGCCUCAGAGGGGAAAUGUGGAUAAAAAAUGUCAUAAAAUAAACAUAAGGGAGACCUAGCAUCCAGCAAAGGGGAGAAGAAGAAAAGACGGGCACCUAGACACAUAGAAGCGGGAUUAGGCGGACAUUGACAAAUUGGAAUUACACUUUAAAGAUCUUUAAGAGCAGUAGUAGUCAAAAAAGUCAAAAAGAGGUAUAUGAGCUGAGCUGAGGAGUGCUAAUACACACACACACACACACGCUCAUACAGUCAAGGGCGGGCAAGUAGACACAACAUACACACACACUCUCUCUUUCUCAUACACACACAUGAAUAACUUUAAUAAUAUCUUAUAGUAAUAGAGAAACUCUAUAAAAAAACAGAAUAGUAGGAUAUGCAGGACAGUAGAACUGUAAUGAUAUUAAGAAGUUGGAAGUACAGUAAACCACUUUUUAAGUAGUAUAAAUAUAUAUAAAAUAAGAAAUAUAGUGCAAAUAUGAAAAUAAAUUAUAAACUAGAAAUACAGGAAAAUGUAAACUUACUCAUGACUCAAAUGGUGAGGGUUCUUGGCUCGCAAGGAAGGCCUUAAUUUUAAGAAAGAACCAUGAGGAGCCAGUUAUAAGGGUGGCUGGGUCAAACUGCCCCCCCUCGAGAUAACGAUAAGACCAAGGUCCCUCUAGGUUGUUUAGUCUUGUCCACGGUCUACUCUCUGGGUAUAUGAAAAUGCUGGUUUCUGAUGCCCUAAGGUAACUGAAAAUUCUGGUUUCUGAUGCCCUAGGUAACUGAAAAUUCUGGUUUCUGAUCCUCUGAGUAACUAGAAACUCUGGGUUUUUAUUUUCUGGGCUAUUAGAAAUGCCUGGGUUCUGAUUUUAUGUGUAAAUUAAAACCCCUGGUUUCAAUUCUAUGUGUAAGUGAAAUAGCCCUUUUCUGGAACAUAAGAGUAAGGUAAAUGAGCUCUUUUUUAACCCUAUUGGUAGUGAUAUCAUAGUCUUUUUGAAACAUAUGGGUUAUUUAGUGUGUAAAUACAGUAUAAAUACUGGAGCUUAAGCUCAGGGUAUUGGGAUCACCUCUGAGAAUUCUCAUCGGUGUGGAUCUCGUGUGGUGGAACGGAACAAUAAAGCUGGACCCUUGCUUCUUCUCACUCACGGCUGGUGUAUUUUUUCUAUCUCCAACUGGGCUCAGAGGUAGAUGCUUAACUGAUGAGGAACUUGGAGAUGG